GACGAACGCUGGCGGCGUGCUUAACACAUGCAAGUCGACGAUGUUUAUAUAGCAAUAUAUAAAUGUAGUGGCGCACGGGUGAGUAACGCGUAUGUAAUCUGCCUUUGGCUCAGGGAUAACACCUCUAACGAGAUGCUAAUACCUGAUAAUGCAGCGGCACCGCAUGGUGACAGUUGUUAAAGCUUCGGCGGCCAUAGAUGAGCAUGCGUUUGAUUAGGUAGUUGGUGAGGUAACGGCUCACCAAGCCAAUGAUCAAUAGCUGGUCUGAGAGGAUGAUCAGCCACACUGGGACUGAGACACGGCCCAGACUCCUACGGGUGGCUG
rnacentral:rRNA from 1 species